CAGUAGUAGUGACCUCUUUUCUCGUCCCACAGUAGUAGUGACCUCUUUCUCUUCCCACAGUAGUAGUGACCUCUUUUCUCUUCCCACAGUAGUAGUGACCUCUUUUCUCUUCCCACAGUAGUAGUGACCUCUUUCUCUUCCCACUGUAGUAGUGACCUCGUUUCUCUUCCCACAGUAGUAGUGACCUCGUUUCUCUUCCCACAGUAGUAGUGACCUCUUUUCUCUUCCCACAGUAGUAGUGACCUCUUUCUCUUCCCACAGUAGUAGUGACCUCUUUCUCUUCCCACAGUAGUAGUGACCUCUUUUCUCGUCCCACAAUAUUAGUGACCUCUUUUCUCUAGGUUAGUAUACACUUUUGUAUGUAUUGCUUUUUGUUUUAUGUUUGUUAAAACUAAUUUGCUUGCUUCUUUAUAAAUACUUGCAUGUAUGUGUGAUUGAGUGUGUACUGUUAUUUCGUCACCAUUGGUUUUAGUAAUAAUAAAUAUUGAAUAUUGAAUAAAUAUUGAUAGUGAAUGACAGGAUAUCUAAACAGGAUAAUUUGCAGUUCAUCCUAGAUUAUUCCUCACAAUGUCCACACCAUAUAUAACAACAAGCUAAUAAUGGUUCUAGAUCCAAUCUAAGUACUGUUUUAGUUUUUUAUAUAUAUAUAAUUUACUGGUAGUUGCCAAAGAAAUAGAGCAUGCCAGGGUUGGGGUCAAUACCAUUUCAAAUCCAGUCAAUUCAGGAAGUACACUCAAAUUCCAAUUCUCUUCAAUGCUUUUCAAUGAGAAACAUUUUGAACUGAAAUUGGGUUAACUUUCUGAAUUGACUGACAUCGAAAUGGUAUUGACCCCAAUCCUGGAGAAUACCAUAUUGUAGUUCAUGACAGCAUACCAUACUGUAGUUCAUGACAGCAUACCCUACUGUAGUUCAUGACACCCUACCAUACUGUAGUUCAUGACAGCAUACCAUAUUGUAGUUCAUGACAGCAUACCAUACUGUAGUUCAUGACAGCAUACCAUAUUGUAGUUUAUGACAUGUUCAUUUGUUUUCAUGACAAUGUCCAUUUUGUCUGCUGGGAAUGGUAUUGACCCCAAUCCUGGAGAAUACCAUAUUGUAGUUCAUGACAGCAUACCAUAUUGUAGUUCAUGACAGCAUACCCUACUGUAGUUCAUGACAGCAUACCAUAUUGUAGUUCAUGACAGCAUACCUUACUGUAGUUCAUGACAGCAUACCAUAUUGUAGUUCAUAACAGCAUACCAUAUUGUAGUUCAUGACAGCGUACCAUAUUGUAGUUCAUGACAGCAUACCACAUUGUAGUUCAUGACAGCAUAUCAUAUUGUAGUUCAUGACAGCAUACCAUAUUGUAGUUCAUAACAGCAUACCAUAUUGUAGUUCAUGACAGCAUACCAUAUUGUAGUUCAUGACAGCAUACCACAUUGUAGUUCAUGACAGCAUACCAUAUUGUAGUUCAUGACAGCAUACCAUAUUGUAGUUCAUGACAGCAUACCAUAUUGUAGUUCAUGACAGCAUACCAUAUUGUAGUUCAUGACAGCAUACCAUAUUGUAGUUCAUGUCAUGAAAACAAAUGAAGAUGACAACGUCCAUUUUGUCUGCUGGGAAUGGUAUUGACCCAAUCCUGUAGAUUGACCCCAAUAUGUAGAUGCUUUGAAAUGGACAACUCUUUCCCAGUCAACAACACUGACUUGCUCUCUAUAUCUGUAUGUGAAAUAGCUCAACUCAGAGAUGUAAUGAGGUCCAUUGUGUUUUGUGGCGUAUAACAAAGUUAUUAUAAGGAAGGACUUCCUCAGACUGGCAGGUCCAAUAGACAAAUUUGACAAUCAAACACCAACCAGGGCUGUCAUCAAAGAACUUGAAUGAGCGAACAUUGAUUUCUUGGUGUAUUUUAGAAAUGUGAUUUUGCUGUAAUGUUUUGAUGAUAGCUUGAGGGUGGUCAGGAGACUACUUCAACCCACACCUUUCUCUGUCUGAUAGCUUGAGGGUGGUCAGGAGACUACUUCAACCCACACCUUUCUCUGUCUGAUAGCUUGAGGGUGGUCAGGAGACUACUUCAACCCACACCUUUCUCUGUCUGAUUUCAAGAUUUUUGAACAUGGUUUUUAGAAUUAUUUUGAUAUAAAGAGUUUCAAAUCAAAAGAUCUAACGCUCAUCUUGCAGAGAAUAGCAUGUUAUUGUAUUUGAGAAUGAUCAGUAAUUAACCAGGCUACGUAGGACCAGGCUACGUAGGACCAGGCUACACUGUGACAAUGCUGAUUUCAGAUCAAAAGCUAAUGUGUUUGAACUGAGAGCCAGUUAGAAGCUAUUACCACCGACUGACUAUUAAUUACGACUGUCACACAAAUACAACCCAGAGUUCAGUGUUUUACCAUGUCAGUUGUAUGUUCUUAAAAAAAUAAAAUAAUUGUAUUUGUGCUCAAUGUAAAAGAAAGAAACUGAUUAACCCCUAGAGGUUUUUGAAGGUAAUAAAAUGUAACUUGUAAACAGUGGUUCUUGGGAUAGAGUAACAUUUUGUGUGAGACUUUCUCCUUUUUGACCUUGUCGUCUUGCGAAGUCUCUAUAUGUGUGCUAGUAUUUCGUUAGGUGUGCCAGUGGGUUCUGGUUGGUCUGAAACUGCUGAUGAAGUGUAUUACUGCUGUAAAAUGCCGCUGUAUGGAAACACUGGAACACAUCCUGAUCAUGUAACACCAUUACUAUUGCUGAUCUCCUCCACAUCCUCCUCCUCCUCCACAUCCUAUUCCUCCUCCUCCUCCACAUCCUCCUCCUCCAAAUCCUCAUUCCCCUCCUCCUCUUCCUCCUCAUCUUCCCUCUCCUCUUCCUUCUCCUCCUCCUUCUUCUUCUUCUCCACAUCCUCCUCCUCCACUUCCUCCUCCUCCUAUUCCUUGUCCUCUUCCUCCACAUCCUCCUCCAAAUCAUCAUCCUCCUCGUUCACAUCCUCCAUAUCCUCCUCCUCCUCAUCAUCAUCCUCUUCUUCCUCCUCCACAUCCUCUUCCUCCUCCAUCAUCCUCCUCCACAUCCCCUUCCUCCUCUUCCUCAUCCUCCAUAUGCCUUCCUUCUAUUAUUAUUGUAUUAUUUGCAAUAUAAGCUACAAACUGCUGCAUUUGUGGACACUAAACAGUUAUGUUGUCUGCGGUAUUGGAGUAACAACAAUUGUCCAACAAUUGCUCUCUAACUUGUGUUAGCGAUAGAUUUUCACAAUAACCUUUACCAUGUUACAGAGUUUUAUAAAAUUAACUUUGUAGUGCCCAUAACUAAACAUUAUACUGUAUAUGCCUCUUAUUGCAUUGAAAUGUAGUUAUUUUGAAUGUUCUACUGAAGAUGACUGCAUCUACUUUCCGUCUCUCUCCUCUGGUUUCACAUAUGAAGUGUUUUCCGUGGAAAGGGGAUCUGGUCUGAUCUGGAUCAAUGUGGAAAUAUGAACUUGUAAUCAUUGUGAGUGUUGCCACUGCUAGGGAACUCUAAAAUACUGUUUGAGACACUUCAACUUAGAUUUUUUACAUGGGUUUAUGUUUGAUGUAAAUAUUAACAAUGUAUCUGAUGUGUCAAAAGAAACUGAGGCAGUUAAACAUUAAACUUCAUGUUAUGUUGUUUGUAA
ensembl:lncRNA